AAUAUAUAUUACAGCAAAAAUUAAGAAAUACGCAAUUAUUAAAAUGUAUUAUUCAUAAUAUAUUCAUAAUAUAUUAAUAAUAUAUUAUGUAUUAUAGAUAAUACGUAAUAAUAUAUUAUGAAUAAUACAUUGUUCAUAAAAGUGCAAUCUAUUUGAAUCUGUAUGCGUUAUUAAAACCAUAUUGCAUGUCAUGUUUUAACAGUUACUUCUGAAACAAUACUUCUGCAUCACAACAUGCAAAAUUACUGCAAUAAUGUAGCUAUGAGAUCCUGUACCGAAAGAGGGAAGUACGAGACGACGACGUGUCGUGAAGAAUCCAUUAGUUUCACACCGCUCUUUGUAACUCCGCACCUCUUCACACCGAAGCCUGUUCCAGGCACAGAAAGUGCAAGAGCCAUGCAAAGAAAGAAGAAGAAAGAUGAAAAACGGUGCCAGCAACUCAGCUGAAAGGAACAGAUCUAAGGACGCAACGAGCAAACAAGCCUCGAUGGAGCAACGAAGGAGAGAGGAAAAGAGAUACGUGACCUAUAUUCGUUAGGGUUGAACGAAAGGACCCCCGCGUAUACUGGAUUACACGCCUGACCGAUCGCGAAACGCACGAUAUACGGCAUUCGGAAGUAUGCACCUUGGAGCUCGUAGCUCCGUAUUUAUGUAGCGCUCGAACGUAUUCCGGAAAGAAAGAAAAGAAAAAAACCGGCGACGAAAAGAAAUAUAGCGAUGAGUGAAUCGCGAAGUUAUGCGCGGCGGAAUAACGAGUUCGGCGAAAAAUUACCGGUCGGGGCGCCGAUGUUUGUUACGUUCGCCACGUAACCCUAAAUGGAGUUUACGUGCAUGUACAACGUGACGCGGAAUUGUUCGCGAAUGAGAAUGACAUAACUGGCAUAGUAACAUAACGAUCGUAAACAGGCGCGUCUCGAUAUGCGAGCGGCCGUACGAGAAUCGAGUGUGUCUCGAUCGCUCGUGGGAUCAUCGAUAAUGACGAUCGAUGAUCUACGGUGAUCGAUAGCGAUGCCAGGAGCACAGGAGACGCGAGGAGGUCGCGCGAGUCCGGCGCGAGAGCCGGCGAAAGGCUCAUUCAUUCGUGAGAGGUGCGGGAGGAAGAGGAGGAAGAGGAGGGGGAAAGAAGGAAAAAAAGAGGGGAAGGGAGCGCGCGCGCGUGACGGCGCCCAGCGUGAAAUUCGCUUAAUCCAUUAAUGAGCGAAGCGAACAGCACCAAUGAGGAUUAUUGUAAAUUUCGAAGCUACAAAACAGCUUUCGAAGCUUUCGAAACGGAAUUACUUGCGAGGAAGCCUCACGUUUUCUUUUCAUUUUAUAGAAAUGGCUAGAGAUGAAAAUGACUGAAAAAAAAAAAAAAUUAGAAACCUCAAAACUAAAAAUUGAUUUUUUACUCGGAUAUUUCUUCUCCUUUUUAAAUUUUUAUCUCGGUUUAAAAUUAUAAAUGCAAAAAAUUAAAUAAUAACUAACUCGAAACAGCAUAGACAAUAAGCGUUUUAAUAAUGAAUAUCAAGUAAAAUAAAUUCUAUAUGUAUCUUUCCUUCAGUAUUUUGAUGAAGAACUGAUUUUUCACUUGAUUUAUUUACUGCACAGUAAAAUAUGUAGGUUUUUUUUAUCUCUACGCGGAGGGAAUUUUCUCUUAAAAUUUACCUUCAAAAUUUGGUAAUUGUGGGAGAAUGUAUGACCUCGAGGAAUUUUACUAUACUUUUUAGUAAAAUUUAUUAAAAGUAUAGUAAAAUUCACUAUACUUUAAGUAAAAUUUACUUUUACUAAAUAAAAGUAUACUAAAUUUUUUUUCUGCCUCUGACUACCGAACAUUACAUUUGUUUUAACGCUUUGUCGAAUACUCUGCGUGUUUGUUGCUCGUUUUAAUAUUGUCUGGUAUCAACAUAUAAAAGUUUAUCAUUUUUUUACAAUAGGCACAUCAGUUUAUGUUAUUCAUAAAUUAUACGUACUCCAUCGGUUUUGAUCUUUUAGAUUUCUCGACACUUUUUAACUAUCUAUUCUGUCCUUUUAAUAUGAAAAUUAUAUAGAGCGAACGCGACAAUCACGCACUUUUUAUGUUACGCAAUUCGCGUUGUGCAAUGCGGCGGCGAAGUUUAAUACGUUAAAUGUAUAAAUAACGCUAACUGUGUACAAUAUCAUUGCCAACAUGCGAGCGUGCAUGGAUUCGCGAUCGCGACGGCCGCGCUGCACUUCGUCGCAAUCGCGAAAUCACAAAAAAUCGCACGUCUCUCGGCUAUUUCAAAAUCAAUCCAAAAAUUAAAAAAAAAAAACAAGAAAAAAU
rnacentral:lncRNA from 1 species